rnacentral:ncRNA from 1 species
UAUGAUAGAGGCGCGGUUGCCAAGAGUAGCUUCCACCGCCGGCGCAGGAACGCCGGAAGCGAAAGGGGUCGCCGCCGAAGGACUGCGGUUUUCCUGUGCCGCCGUACCUGGGACGUCGGAGAAUAUCCGCCGGACUGUCACUCGGAUGAGUGGAGAGCUGUCAG